rnacentral:rRNA from 1 species
UACAUGAGCAGCGAAUGUUAUGCAUAUUAGUUGGGUGUAAAAUGUAUGUAGAGUAAAUUCUUAGUUAUACUAUGAUUGGGUUAUUAAGAAUUUUAUAAUUAAGGUCUGGUAUUAAGAUAAUUUAUAAUAGAGAUUAAAUUCUACUUUUAAUAUAAACGAUUUUUUAAGCAUUUUACUGACUUUAAUCGAAAUUGAAAUACGAAAGUAUAAGCCACGAAACGGUUUCACCGAGUAGAUUAUACUGUAAAAUAUGGGUUUUAAAAGCUAACGCUAGACUACCCUACCCGGGGAGUAAGACUACAAGGUCCAAACUUAAAAGAAUUGGCGGGAUUGAUCAAACAGUGGAAUAUGUGGUUUAAUGCGAUAGUCCACGCAUAAUCUUACCAAUCAGCAAAAUUUAGUUUUAUAUUUUAUAAUAUAUUAUAGUAGAGUUUUCGGUAACCUGGAAAACUUUUUUUUUAAAUUCUGGUACUGCAUGGCUGAUUCAAAUUCAAAUUUUGAAAUUUAAAAUUCAGUUUUAUUUUGAAUGUAACUUAUAAAUAAAUUUAUUUAUUUUCUAUUGAAUAAAACACGUCUAGUCAUUAUGGUCUGUUAUUUUUUUGGGCGACACACGUAUUAUAAUGGCAAAAACAAAAAAAUGCAAAUAAUCGAGUACAAGCUAUUUUCAAAAAUUGCCUUAGUUCUAAAUGUUUUUUUGAAACUUAAAAACACGAAGCUAAAAUUGUUAGUAAUCGUGAAAUAAUAUGUCACGGUGAAUAGAUUUUUUAUAAUCUGCACACACCGCCCAUCAAGCCCAGAGAUGUUUUUAAUGUAAAAGCCUGACGAAACCUUUAUUUUUUUUUUUUAAAAAAAGUCUUAAGAUGAGUCUAAGUUGAAACUUUAAAGGCAAAUUCGGGUUAAGUUG